AUACGAGAUCUAUUUAUGACCAACUCAGAAGCAAAAUAUGUCAUGCGAUCUUGCUGUCCAUGGUUACUCCCUGCUUUGAAUUUUGAGCAGGGAAGAUAACGGAACUUGAUUUGGUGACAAAGGUGAAUUCCAUGUCAAUUUUAUCGUUGUUCUUCUUUUCACCCAAGUACUUGUGUUUUCUCUGUUUGUGAGGUUCUGUUGUUUCUGUGCUUAUUUUCUCAACCAAUAUAAAUUUCUUUGUCUUUUCUUGUUAAUUCGUAGUAAAAGCAUAAUGACCUGGAGAAGUCAUGUUGACUCCUUUAUUCAAUGCUUGAGUAUUUAGUUGAAGUCCUUUUGUUAUUAUUAUCUUUAUUCAUUUGGUAGAAUUCCUUGAUGUCAAAUACUGCCUUGUUUUAUAAGUCUUUUGAUAUUUUAAAAUUAAAUUAAGGGAGACCUUAUUCAGGUUACUUGUCAGCCUUUGAUUUUUCUUGUGAAGGAAUAUUUUGUGUCAAUAUUUGCAAUUUGUACAGCCCUGCAUUCCAGUGAACAUCCAGAAAAGGAAAUGGUAGGGAUUGCUCUUUGUAAUUCAAGUCUGCAGAUUGGUAAACUUUCGGAGCUUGAAUGGAUGACCUUAUAAGAGAACACAUGGUUCAACUGUCAGCUUCCUUUUGUCUCUUGCUUCAUCUUCUGUUGACCCAUCAAUGCCUUUGUUCUCCAAAAUGAUUGUUACAUUUCAGUCAAAAGUGUUGCUGAUGGUUUUCUAGAGAAGGAUGAUCAUAAUACUUAAAAAGGCAUUGUUAAUCAGAUAAACAUUUUUCUCCCUGAUACAGUUUUCAAGUAUAAAUCCACUAUCAAAUUUCUUCAGCGGCCCAUCCUCAUCUCAAGCGGCAUAAGUUCUCUACAAUUGAGGUUCUUAUUGAUGUAAUUGGGUAUACAGCAGCACUUUCUUGCACUUCAAUGAGAAACCCCACAAAAGAAGCAUUCAAUGUGCUUGGCGAACAACUUCAGUUUUUGGUUUCAAAAUUGGUUGCUUGUUGCAUUCCAUCUGAAGCCCAGGUUACUUAUGUUUUUUCACUCCUAAGGUCAUAUAUCUGCUCCAUCAGCUAACAGCAGAUGCUGAC